ACCAGCAACUUGGAGGAAUGAAAAUACUACUUGGUAGUUUAAAUUUCUAGGUAGAAUUAUGAUGAUGACAUUAUCUAUCUAUUAGUCUUGACCAAAUUACGUGCCAGCUGUCGCGGUAAUACGUAGAAGACAAGUGUUAUUCAUCUUUAUUAGGUUUAAAGAGUACCAAGACGGUUAAUAAAGCCCAAAAGAAAUGAAUACGGGGGACACAUUAACUAGAGUUAUAUGAAAGGAAGCACUAAGGUACUGUUGAGUGUAGAGAUGAAAUUUUAUGAUACCAGAUGAUUGGGACAGAUUUAUGCGAAGGCAUCUUCUUAUGUAAUAACUGACGUUGUAGGACGAAGGCUUAAGAAGUGAACAGGAUUAGGUACCCCAGUAAUCUAGGCAGAAAAUGAUGAAUGUCAUAGGUUGAAUACAGACAGGUUAAUUUUACAAUCUAAUAGUAAAUAGGUGGUAUAUUAAUCAGUCUAUUAUUGUGUCUAUAAAUGAAAGUGUAAGCAUUCCACUCAAGAGUAAUUUGGCAACAUUGGAACUGAAAUCAUUAGACCGUUUCUGAAA
rnacentral:rRNA from 1 species